UGGGCGAAAGCUUGAUCUAGCCAUGCCGCGUGUGUGAAGAAGGUCUUCGGAUUGUAAAGCACUUUAAGUUGGGAGGAAGGGCAGUAAAUUAAUACUUUGCUGUUUUGACGUUACCGACAGAAUAAGCACCGGCUAACUCUGUG
rnacentral:rRNA from 1 species